rnacentral:tRNA from 1 species
GCCUGGCUGGCUCAGUCGGUUGAGCGUCCGACUUCAGCUCAGGUCACGAUCUCCCGGUUCGUGAGUUCGAGCCCCGCGUCAGGCU